UGAUAGUGACAUUAUGAAGUCUAAGAACCAAUGGCAGACCCUAAACCAUGAUAAUAUGAGGAAUCACUGGAAAAAGCAGAGGAACCUGGUUGUGAGCCUGGGAUGUUGCUGAAGGCAAGGAAACCACCUCAAAGAGACGAGACAGAAGAGGACCAGAUGUAAAUGUUUUAUGGCCCGACAGGCCAUUUCCUUGCCCUGCCUCCGUCUGGAGACUCCCCGUCCUGAGACACAUCCACUCUGCUUCAGGAAGGCUGACUGACCCGGACCAGCAGCUUCCUCGCUUAAUGUAUUCAUCGUGUCUGAGUACAAAAUAUGCUAUUGGAGACUGAGGAAAAUUUGUUAUAAGACAAUAAAAUGGAGAAGGCAUUUUGAGGUGAAAGUACUGGCAUUUAUUUUAUGGGAGAGAAGAAAAACAGAAAAGAAAUUUAAAUAUUUUUUAGAUGUAUACACUUAAAUCAUCAGACUUGGAGUAAAUUGGUGGGCUUCAUUAAAUCAGAGGUCUUAAGAAAAAAGACUGAGAUCCCCAGAGGAAGAACAAAUUCUGCCUUCAGACUGCUUUUGGCUCAAGACUGCAACAUUGACUCUUGCCAGGAUUUCCAUCCUGUUGGCCUGCCCCACAGAAUUUUCAGACUUGCCAGCCCUCACAAUCACAUGGACUAACUUCUUAAAAUAAAUCUCAAAUAUCUCUGUCUCU